UACGAAGGGUGCAAACGUUGCUCGGAAUUAUUGGGCGUAAAGCGCACGUAGGCGGCUUAGCAAGUCGGAAGUGAAAUCCCACGGCUCAACCAUGGAAGUGCUUUCGAAACUGCUGAGCUUGAGUACGAAAGAGGAUCGCGGAAUUCCCGGUGUAGAGGUGAAAUCCAUAGAGAUCGGGAGGAACACCAAUGGCGAAGGCAGUGCACUGGACGUUUCCUGACGCUGAGGUGCGAAAGCGUGGGUAGCGAACGGG
rnacentral:rRNA from 1 species